GAGUUUGAUCCUGGCUCAGAACGAACGCUGGCGGCGUGGAUAAGACAUGCAAGUCGAACGGGAGAAUUGCUAGCUUGCUAAUAAUUCUCUAGCGGCGCACGGGUGAGUAACACGUGAGUAACCUGCCCCCGAGAGCGGGAUAGCCCUGGGAAACUGGGAUUAAUACCGCAUAGUAUCGAAAGAUUAAAGCAGCAAUGCGCUUGGGGAUGGGCUCGCGGCCUAUUAGUUAGUUGGUGAGGUAACGGCUCACCAAGGCGAUGACGGGUAGCCGGUCUGAGAGGAUGUCCGGCCACACUGGAACUGAGACACGGUCCAGACACCUACGGGUGGCAGCAGUCGAGAAUCAUUCACAAUGGGGGAAACCCUGAUGGUGCGACGCCGCGUGGGGGAAUGAAGGUCUUCGGAUUGUAAACCCCUGUCAUGUGGGAGCAAAUUAAAAAGAUAGUACCACAAGAGGAAGAGACGGCUAACUCUGUGCCAGCCGCCGCGGUAAC
rnacentral:rRNA from 1 species